rnacentral:rRNA from 1 species
CAGGACGAACGCUGGCGGCGUGCCUAAUACCUGCAAGUCGAGCGGACAGAUGGGAGCUUGCUUCCCUGAUGUUAGCGGCGGACGGGUGAGUAACACGUGGGUAACCUGCCUGUAAGACUGGGAUAAUUCCGGGAAACCGGGGCUAAUACCGGAUGGUUGUUUGAACCGCAUGGUUCAGACAUAAAAGGUGGCUUCGGCUACCACUUACAGAUGGACCCGCGGCGCAUUAGCUAGUUGGUGAGGUAACGGCUCACCAAGGCGACGAUGCGUAGCCGACCUGAGAGGGUGAUCGGCCACACUGGGACUGAGACACGGCCCAGACUCCUACGGGAGGCAGCAGUAGGGAAUCUUCCGCAAUGGACGAAAGUCUGACGGAGCAACGCCGCGUGAGUGAUGAAGGUUUUCGGAUCGUAAAGCUCUGUUGUUAGGGAAGAACAAGUGCCGUUCAAAUAGGGCGGCACCUUGACGGUACCUAACCAGAAAGCCACGGCUAACUACGUGCCAGCAGCCGCGGUAAUACGUAGGUGGCAAGCGUUGUCCGGAAUUAUUGGGCGUAAAGGGCUCGCAGGCGGUUUCUUAAGUCUGAUGUGAAAGCCCCCGGCUCAACCGGGGAGGGUCAUUGGAAACUGGGGAACUUGAGUGCAGAAGAGGAGAGUGGAAUUCCACGUGUAGCGGUGAAAUGCGUAGAGAUGUGGAGGAACACCAGUGGCGAAGGCGACUCUCUGGUCUGUAACUGACGCUGAGGAGCGAAAGCGUGGGGAGCGAACAGGAUUAGAUACCCUGGUAGUCCACGCCGUAAACGAUGAGUGCUAAGUGUUAGGGGGUUUCCGCCCCUUAGUG